UUUUUGUUUUUUCAUUAUUUUUUAUGUUGUCUUUAAAGUCCCUAUUGUCCUUGUUGUCAUUGUUGUCGUUGUCGUCGUCCUCGUCGUCGUUAUUGUUGUCGUUGAUGUCUCCGUUGUCAUCGGUGUUGUUGUUGUCGUCGUUGAUGUUGUUCUACCAGUUGUCAUUCUUGUCGUUGAUCUCGUCGUUCUCGUUGCCGUUCUUGUUUUUGUUGUUGUUGUUGUUGUUGUUGCAAUUGUCGUCGUCGUCAUCGUUGUUGUUAUUGUUGUUGUUCUUGUUCUUGUUGUCGUUGUUGUUGUUGUUGUGGUCCUUUUUGUUGAUGUGGAUGUUGUUGUUCUUGUUGUUGUUGUUGUUGUUGUUGUUGUUGUU
rnacentral:lncRNA from 1 species